rnacentral:misc_RNA from 1 species
ACGGUCACCAACUUUAUGCUCAACGUUACAAACAACAGCUCCUUCGGGAAUAGAUCUAAGAGGCAACACGUUACCAACCAUAAGAGUAGCUUUUUUCCCACAAUACACGAACUGUCCGGUAUACAUCCCUUCAGCGGCAACGAAAAGCUCCUUCUGAUGCUUGUACCUGAAAGGAUGACGGAAUGUUACCCGCGCAAGUGGUGCACCUCUCCCUGGAUCGUGAAUCACCUCUGUGAUUACUCCUUUCAGGUACCCAUUUCUCUCGCCGAAAUCGAGAGUACGGAAUCGGGCCGGACCUUUCCGGUGGUGGGUAUGGGAUUUGAAAACUGACCCAGCUCCCUUACGUUGUGCUCUG